UUAUGAACGUGAUUUUCACAUGGAUGCUGCAGAAAGAAGAAAUGCAAGAGGCAAGAUGGCGUCCAAAGCUGAUUAUGAAGGAGGAGGUUCAUCCUCAGCAACCUUCAAGCUUGCUCAUUUCUAAGUAGCAAACACUAUCAACAAUCAUGAAGUCUGGAGCUUAGAAGAAUGUGGUAAUGUGCAGGACUAGAAGGGAGGGAGCCCUGUUUCGAGGUUGCAUCCACACUUUUAAACUCUCCUGAAGUCUCUAUGAUAAGAGGAAUCUAACCGAAACGAUUGGCUUGCAAACAUCUCGGCACUACUAAGUACAACACACACAGGGCCAUUCUAUCAAAGCCUUGAGUUAGAGGUCCGCUCUGAGAACCAUGCUCUGCAGACCAUGCUCUGAGGACCACGCCCCGCUGUGAGAAAAACAGAGCCGACCUCACACCUUGGUACCUCCCCGUCUUCAAUAGAUUAAAAAGGACUGCAGCAAGAGCUUGCAAGCCUCUCUCUCACUUCCUCUCUCUUGCUCAGGAGAACUGUGAGAACUAACUGUUGAUCUGAAAGCAACCAUGAUUUGCUACAGAGGUGCGAGCUUGCACAGAGACCUGUGAAAUCCCACAGAACACAGGAAGUGUCUAAUUCCGCUGGAUCGGGCUGGUGUCAAGGCAGCUGACAGCUUCAGAGCCAAGAGCCUCCAGAAUCCUUUUUGGUAAGGAAUGUCAGCUACAAGGGGAAUCCCUACCUCACCAUCUACACAGAGUUCAAAGGAAAUGCAGAUUUAAUCAUUUGGUUUCUGUGUGACUUUCAAGUCAAAGUGAAACUAGAAUGUGAAUAUCAGAGCGUGUGAACCUUUUUGGUACGAAGCCUGGGUUCCCCUCUUACUGCUGCGGUGUGUAGAGGAUUGUGCAAUGUAAUAGCAGCAUCCAAGAUACA
rnacentral:lncRNA from 1 species